AGCGGAUCCAGAAGGUAAGGGGCCGUCCCACCCUAUGACUCCUCGGAGGUCUCGAGCGUCGAGGCGCGGACGUGCACCGGUAGGAUGAAAUGACCUGCGGCAGAGGCGCGACGGGACACACCGACACCUGCCGAAGAAGCAGGUGGAAUCGCCGCGGGCGCAGCCUUCUUGAACUCUACUCCCUAAUCUCCUGCUGACUACUCAGCACCUGCGUGAAGGCACUGGAAGCUAGAUGGAGUCUGCCCGAAGUGCAUGGAGGCACUGGAAGCUAGAUGGAGUCUGCCCGAAGCUGUUUUGAGUUCCAAGCUCAGUUGGCCCCUCUUCAAGAUGGCUACCAGCCAAUCACUCUCUCCUGGGAGCUGACUGACCUGCAGCGGGAUCCUCCCGCCCAGUGCUCCGCAGGACCUGUGGGUGAUGAUUUAUUCCACUGGCAGGCCACCAUCAUGGGUCCGAAUGACAGCCCUUACCAAGGAGGCGUCUUCUUCCUGACCAUCCACUUUCCUACCGAUUACCCAUUCAAGCCCCCAGAGGUUGCUUUCACAACCAAAAUCUAUCACCCCAACAUCAACAGCAAUGGCAGCAUCUGCCUGGACAUCCUGCGGUCACAGUGGUCUCCAGCACUGACAGUGUCCAAAGUUCUCUUGUCCAUCUGCUCUCUGCUCUGUGACCCCAAUCCUGAUGACCCUCUGGUGCCAGAAAUAGCCCACACGUACAAGGCCGACAGAGAGAAGUACGCCUACUCUUUGGGUUGCUUUGUGCCAUGACUGCCCAGGUUCCCAUGGACAUCUUCCUGCCCACGCCACGCCCUUGUGCAGUGUGUGUCCCAGCCCGGCCUCCUGGCUCUCGCUAUGUGCCUUGACUCGGAGGAGGGAGAGGGGAUAAAAGCAGUUCACCCUCCUGGGUGGCUCAUCAGAUACCACUACUGAACCCUAAAAUACUGUUGCAAGCCCUGCCCUCAGGACAGCAAAGUCAGUGGCCAAGAAUGAACUCAGAAGAAUCUGACAAGUAAAUUCUGGAUUAAACUCUCAGGUUUAUGGCGUAAAAUGAGGGGUUGUCUGUUUGCACAGACCUAGAGGGAGGCCAAAACCAGUCGAGGAGGGGCACACUGCUCGGUCAGUUUGCUGGUGUGCUUGGAAGUGAGCGGAGCUGCUGCCUCACCUGUAGACCCACACUGCCAGCUCUGGGUUUGAACACUGAUCUCCAGACCCAGAAGCGUAGAACCCUGACUCCAGCCAGCACAUCCACGUGCACUGAAGCAUCCGGUGUAGGUACAACAGACUAGCACAAGAAUGGACGCAGAAAUAUGCUAUGUAAGUGUCUUGGAGGUUUUGCGGGACAAGCUUGCCUGCCAGGCCCACGCCUCCCUGUGAAGCUGAGCCGUCAGCUGCACCACUCACUGAGCUUCAUCGUUCGUCACACAUGCCUUGGCCACUCCCUCUGUCUGGCUGCAGCAUGUCGGUGCCACUCUCAGCCACUGUGGCUUUGACAGUGUCACCUCUUUGAUGCCAAAUCGGCAGCCAUUGUUACGAUCCACAGCCUUCCUGGUUACACUAAAACCAGUCUGUCUGACCCCUGUCAUCUGCUCUCUCUGGAGGACAGGGUCCCACACACCUCUCAACAGUGCCACCGCACGCUGUGGCACCAGGUGGAGCCCAGCCUGGCCCCCCACCAUGUGCCCUUUGGCUUUAGAACUCAGAGCCAUCCUGGGUACCCAGGGCAGAGUGGGCUUCCUUCACAUCCUGUCAGCCACAGAACCAUGUCCUGAGGAGUCUGCCUCACCUGGAGGCUCCCGGGAAUUGGGACAGUGUUGCUGGAAAACAGAGGCCUCCUCCUGUGGCUUCUGCUGUCUUCCACUGCCUUCCUCUGCAGGUCCACGCAGUGCAUUUCUCUCCUCACACCAAGAAGCAGCAAAUGGGAGAUGUCAGGAUAUAAAGCAUAUAACACUC